AGAACGAACGCUGGCGGCAGGCUUAACACAUGCAAGUCGAGCGCCCUGCAAGGGGAGCGGCGGACGGGUGAGUAACGCGUGGGAAUCUGCCUUUAGAUGGGGGAUAACGGGCCGAAAGGUCCGCUAAUACCGCAUAGGCCGCAAGGUUAAAGGAGUAAUCCGUCUAAAGAUGAGCCCGCGUCCGAUUAGCUAGUUGGUAGGGUAAAAGCCUACCAAGGCGACGAUCGGUAGCUGGUCUGAGAGGAUGAUCAGCCACAAUGGGACUGAGACACGGCCCAUACUCCUACGGGAGGCAGCAGUGGGGAAUUUUGUGCAAUGGGCGAAAGCCUGACACAGCGACACCGCGUGAGCGAAGAAGCCCUUUGGGGUGUAAAAGCUCUGUCAGCUGGAACGAAAAAAUGACGGUACCAGCAGAGGAAGCAUCGGCUAACUACGUGCCAGCAGCCGC
rnacentral:rRNA from 1 species